rnacentral:rRNA from 1 species
CCUACGGGGGGCAGCAGUGGGGGAUAUUGCACAAUGGGGGAAACCCUGAUGCAGCGACGCCGCGUGAGCGAUGAAGUAUUUCGGUAUGUAAAGCUCUAUCAGCAGGGAAGAAAAUGACGGUACCUGACUAAGAAGCCCCGGCUAACUACGUGCCAGCAGCCGCGGUAAUACGUAGGGGGCAAGCGUUAUCCGGAUUUACUGGGUGUAAAGGGAGCGUAGACGGCAGUGCAAGUCUGAAGUGAAAGGCAAGGGCCCAACCCCGGAACUGCUUUGGAAACUGUGCAGCUCGAGUGCAG